CACACAGGGUGUGUGUCUGCGUACGAUCGCAGGAGAAGGGGAAAAAAGGGGUGUAAACCCUAACCACAAAAAAAUCAUCAAUUGAAAAGGAAAUCGCGGGUUGAUUUUGUGCAUGAACCAAGAAUGAUGAUCCCUUAAGCGUUUCUCACAUCAAGAACGUGUCAAGGAGAGGUCAAGCAUAGGAGGAUAACGGGUCAAGAUAAGGCAAGGUGACAAAUACACUUAUUGGAGUACUCGAGGUAAGUGAAUUUCGAUUCACUUUUUAGUAGGUUUAAUAGAUUUUAAUACUUUUGUUUACGAAACAUCAUGAAAGAACAUGUAAUAAUCAGAAGUACAAAGCCAAUAAUGCCUCAUUAUUGAAGAAGGUUGUAUUUAAGCCGAAAGUAAAUUGGUGGGUUUAAACGGGUCGAAUUUUAUGUGCAUAUGUUGCGUAAUGUAAUGAAAUUCGUUAUGGUUAAGACAUUGGGUAAGAAUUUUUAGUCAUUAUGUAAGGGGAACAUUUCCCGGACCAUUAGGAACAAGUUUUAUAUGAUUCGGUUGUCGGUUAGUGAAUGAACGGAUUGUUUCGUGUUAGUGUAGGAAAUUUUAUAAGUAUAUGUGUAUAGGAAUCCAAAUGGCACGUGGGUUGAAUCAUAGAUUGUCUAUACUAUGUAAAGUUGUGAAUGUGACAUUCCGGCAUAAACCUACAUGUAAAAGAAGCUUGUGUAUAUAUUCGUGAUUAAUUGAUUGUGCGUAGGAAGGAACAUUGGCAUGUAUGAAGGUACGCAUGUAUAUAUAUAAGUGUAUAUAUAUAUAUAUGUAUGUAUGUAUGAUAAUAAGUACGUAGGUGUGAAUGUGUGUGUGAAUGAAUGUUCAAUGCUUAAGACAUAUGCAUGAACGUUAUCAAAGUGUUCGAGUAUUUAUGGAUACUAAUGAUGUGCGUUGAGUUGGAAUGUAAUGUAGGUAUGGGAUCGUUGGCUUCAUGAAGAAAUGGAGCUGGAUUUGGAUAAGAGUAUUUAAGAAAGCGCUUGGACAAUUCCACGACUACUUUAUAGAAUGCUCUACGAAAUUCUAUUAUAUAGUUUAAUGUUGUAUGGUAUGUUAAUGACUAAUGGUUUGGUUGUACGUGGUGUCCACAGGUAUCGCUUGGGUUUUCUCUACAUUUAUUGAAGUGAAGCGGACUUAGUUCGAGUUGAGAGCAAGGAUUGUACGGGGUAGAAUGGUCACAUAGUGUAACUCAUAUAGGUUUUGAAGUAUUAAUGUUAUAAAACGUUAUAAUCCGUUUUAAUGAAUAUAUGGCAUUUCGCAUUUGAACCUUCAUGUGUUUGAUAUGUCUAUUAAAGAACGAAAUUUUUGGGCUCUUGUUUUCCGCUGCGUCGUAUUUUAAGUUAUUACGCGUUAGUCUUACAGGGAAUUGUUCUUAUUACGAACGGGUCAUGCCCGAAUUUUGUUAAAUAAUAGUAUGAUAAUAUUACAUUUUGGAAUGUGUAAUUUGGGCGUAUCAAGUUGGUAUCAGAGCCCUGGUUUGAGGGAAAUCAAGUAUGAGGAGGCAAAUACUUGAACUCAAACCUGUGUGCUCUUGUGACGAGGAACCCGUACAAUCCAAGACUCGAUCAAGAUCUAAAGGUAGAAGCAAAUGUAAGUAUGAAUUUAAGUAUGUUUAUGAAGAAACUAACAUUAUGUUGUGUGUAAGAUAAGCAUAGUUGUUUGGAUGAGGAUGAUCCACGACUGUGGUCUCGGACUGACACCAAGGCAUGUAAUAAGACCAUUGCCCAGGUCAGUGAAAGAAUGUUCAUAAGCGAAAGCUCGUCACACGGAUGAACGAGGUCAAUACGAAACAUGGUAUGGAUGGGGACGAAGAGGACCGACUCGUUGCUGCAUGUUCAAGUACUGCACCAAGGUAGUAAGGUUAGCAAAUUAUUUAAUAUAUGAAGGUACGAUGCUCGAAUCCCUCAAACCUACGCUCUCGUGAAAGUGUGUUCGUUUCUAAGCGCCACACAAGUAAGUGAUUUAAGGAUUUCGAGCUAUGCUUUUAGAUGAAAACGGAAAUGGGUUAUGGAUAAAUUAUUAUUAUAACCUGGGUUGGGACGUUAUGGGAUGUUAGGGAAGGUUUCGGGACUGCCCGAGACCAUUUCUGGUUGGAAAAAAGGACCCGGGAACAAAAAAUUUUGGUCAAACAGCGUCUGCACAGCAGAGAGCCCGUCGGCGACGGCCUUUAUGCCGUCGGCGAUGGCACCCCUCCACCUGACGCGCUAACUGUCUGUCUACGGGCAAUGUUUAGCGACGGGACCUUCCCGAGCCCGUCGGCGACGCACCAUGUGCCGUCGGCGACGGGUCCCCCUUAUCUGCUUAUGUUGAAAUUGUUUGUUUAUUAGGCUAAGGUCCUUAAUUCAGUUCUAGCAUUCAUUAAACAUUAGGAACACCCCAAGUUGAUUAUGAAGCUAAGAAAUUCAAGACAACUAUCAUGUUUUAAUGAUGUAUGUGCGGGAAGUUAUGUAUGCGAAUGAAUGAAAUAAGUAACACGUCUAGAAGGUUUGUAAAGAAAGAUUGGAUGAGUUUAUGAAAAUUUUACACUAUCAUUGAAAAAGUACCUCCAUAUGAAUAGGUAUGAUAUGUUUAAUAUGUACGAAUGAACGAGAUUGUAUGCGGAAAUGAAUAAAUUAAUGAUGACUAGGGAUUGGUUUUCGCAUGGAAGUUUGAAAUCUUGAUAAGUAUGAAUAAUAUAUCAGGAUGCUAGUUUCAAAUUAUGGACUAUGGGAUCUGUGAUUAAGCAAAUUCUCACAACAUGCUUAUGUAAGUCGUCCAAUGUAACUUGAAUGAGUGAGGGAACGAAGAAUAAAACUAGACGGGUUGUAGAAGAAAAGAAAGAGGUUUCGGGGACGAAACCUUCUUUAAGGGGGGUAGAUUUGAAACACCCCAAAACUCGAAUUAUUAAAUUCGUAGGAAUGUCACCAUGUGUAAUUAAAUAAAAUACAAUAACUAAGUUAUUAAACUUAGUUAAAUGCCUAAUAAACAAGUUAAGGAAUGAAACUUGUGGCAACUAUAAUGGAAUGGUAAACUUGAGGGACUUAGAUUGCCAAAAAGGAAAUAUAUUUUAUUAAAACAAAAACAAAAAAAAAAAUCAUACACAGGGUGUGUGUCUGCGUACGAUCGCAGGAGAAGGGGAAAAAGGGGGUGUAAACCCUAACCACAAAAAAAUCAUCAAUUGAAAAGGAAAUCGCGGGUUGAUUGUGUGCAUGAACCAAGAAUGAUGAUCCCUUAAGCGUUUCUCACAUCAAAUAAUAGGAACGUGUCAAGGAGAGGUCAAGCAUAGGAGGAUAACGGGUCAAGAUAAGGCAAGGUGACAAAUACACUUAUUGGAGUACUCGAGGUAAGUGAAUUUCGAUUCACUUUUUAGUAGGUUUAAUAGAUUUUAAUACUUUUGUUUACGAAACAUCAUGAAAGAACAUGUAAUAAUCAGAAGUACAAAGCCAAUAAUGCCUCAUUAUUGAAGAAGGUUGUAUUUAAGCCGAAAGUAAAUUGGUGGGUUUAAACGGGUCGAAUUUUAUGUGCAUAUGUUGCGUAAUGUAAUGAAAUUCGUUAUGGUUAAGACAUUGGGUAAGAAUUUUUAGUCAUUAUGUAAGGGGAACAUUUCCCGGACCAUUAGGAACAAGUUUUAUAUGAUUCGGUUGUCGGUUAGUGAAUGAACGGAUUGUUUCGUGUUAGUGUAGGAAAUUUUAUAAGUAUAUGUGUAUAGGAAUCCAAAUGGCACGUGGGUUGAAUCAUAGAUUGUCUAUACUAUGUAAAGUUGUGAAUGUGACAUUCCGGCAUAAACCUACAUGUAAAAGAAGCUUGUGUAUAUAUUCGUGAUUAAUUGAUUGUGCGUAGGAAGGAACAUUGGCAUGUAUGAAGGUACGCAUGUAUAUAUAUAAGUGUAUAUAUAUAUGUAUGUAUGUAUGAUAAUAAGUACGUAGGUGUGAAUGUGUGUGUGAAUGAAUGUUCAAUGCUUAAGACAUAUGCAUGAACGUUAUCAAAGUGUUCGAGUAUUUAUGGAUACUAAUGAUGUGCGUUGAGUUGGAAUGUAAUGUAGGUAUGGGAUCGUUGGCUUCAUGAAGAAAUGGAGCUGGAUUUGGAUAAGAGUAUUUAAGAAAGCGCUUGGACAAUUCCACGACUACUUUAUAGAAUGCUCUACGAAAUUCUAUUAUAUAGUUUAAUGUUGUAUGGUAUGUUAAUGACUAAUGGUUUGGUUGUACGUGGUGUCCACAGGUAUCGCUUGGGUUUUCUCUACAUUUAUUGAAGUGAAGCGGACUUAGUUCGAGUUGAGAGCAAGGAUUGUACGGGGUAGAAUGGUCACAUAGUGUAACUCAUAUAGGUUUUGAAGUAUUAAUGUUAUAAAACGUUAUAAUCCGUUUUAAUGAAUAUAUGGCAUUUCGCAUUUGAACCUUCAUGUGUUUGAUAUGUCUAUUAAAGAACGAAAUUUUUGGGCU